CAGCAGCCACGGUAAUACGUAGGUGGCAAGCGUUGUCCGGGAUUAUUGGGCGUAAAGGGCUCGCAGGCGGUUUCCUAAGUCUGAUGUGAAAGCCCCCGGCUCAACCGGGGAGGGUCAUUGGAAACUGGGAAACUUGAGUGCAGAAGAGGAGAGUGGAAUUCCACGUGUAGCGGUGAAAUGCGUAGAGAUGUGGAGGAACACCAGUGGCGAAGGCGACUCUCUGGUCUGUAACUGACGCUGAGGAGCGAAAGCGUGGGGAGCGAACAGGAUUAGAGACCCCUGUAGUCCCUGUCUCUUAUAC
rnacentral:rRNA from 1 species